rnacentral:rRNA from 1 species
UGGGGAAUAUUGGACAAUGGGCGAAAGCCUGAUCCAGCCAUGCCGCGUGUGUGAAGAAGGUCUUCGGAUUGUAAAGCACUUUAAGUUGGGAGGAAGGGCAUUAACCUAAUACGUUAGUGUUUUGACGUUACCGACUGAAUAAGCACCGGCCAACUCUGUGCCAGCAGCCGCGGUAAUACAGAGGGUGCAAGCGUUAAUCGGAAUUACUGGGCGUAAAGCGCGCGUAGGUGGUUUGUUAAGUUGGAUGUGAAAUCCCCGGGCUCAACCUGGGAACUGCAUUCAAAACUGACUGACUAGAGUAUGGUAGAGGGUGGUGGAAUUUCCUGUGUAGCGGUGAAAUGCGUAGAUAUAGGAAGGAACACCAGUGGCGAAGGCGACCACCUGGACUAAUACUGACACUGAGGUGCGAAAGCGUGGGGAGCAAACA